UCCAAGGGUGGGUCUCCUAGGGGCUGGAAAAUACCCCACCAAUCUGGCUAAGAUAAGGAAAGGGUAUGAAGAGAAAGUUACAGAAAUUUGAAGGGUUAAGCUAAGUUGCUGAGAGUUAGUAUAAGUUACAGAGAAAGUAACGUUAAACAAAGAGAAAGAGAAAAGAAGGUAAAAAGAGCAGAAAGCUAGGGAAGAAAAGAGACAAAAAGAAGAGGAAGCUAGAGAGCUAAAGAGAGAUAAAAGACAAGAGAGGAACAUAUACUGGCCACAGUAGUUAGGGAACCUAAGAAGACAGUACCUGGCAACAGAAGAGAAUUCCUGGCUAAAGAUCAGUGUGCCUAAUGCAAAGGAAAAAAAAAAAAAACACUGGGUCAGGGACUGCCCCAGAAAGAACAAGAGGGGACACUGGAGAGCCUCUCGGUCCUGGAGUGCUGGCUAUGUGCAGAGAUAGGAGGGAAGCCUGCCCAGUUGUUUUAUGGAUACAGGGACCCAAUGCUCUGUGGUCCUAUGCUCCAGUGGGCCAGUAUCCAAAGACCUUGGGUACAGGGGCCUACUGGCAACAAACAAUACUUAUGGACUGCCCGAAGAACAGUGGACCUUGGCGUGGGCCGGGUAACCCACUAGUUCAUAGUCAUCCCUGACUGCCCCCAUCCCUUGCUCAUGAGAAAAUUGCUCCCCAAAAUGGCUUGCGUGGGCUGAAAUGGCUGGGUGAGGCCAUGUGUAUGCAUAUCUACAGACUGUGUAUGCGGAGCUUAAGACCUGUCUCAGUGCACCAGUACCUGAUGCUGGGAGAUGAAUGGCUUAGCGCUGUUCUACUUGGAACAUAUCACUCCUGCCAGCUGGGCACUAACAAUUAUCACCCAAUCCAGGACUUAAACUGUGAUAGAGUGGCUGAUGUCUUGCCUUUGAAUAGUGUCCCAAAAGAUGGGACCACUGGUCAGCUGCCAUGGACUAGAUUCUCUACCGGUUGGGGACAAUCUGGUCACCUUGCUGCCCAAUCCGGAUCUGGAGUCACUGCAACACGAGUGUCAAGCACUGGCAGAAGCCCAUGGGUGGAGGAAAGACCUCUGCGACUGGCUAAUUGACCCCUGCUGAAAGCCGAGGCUACCUUGUCCACAGACGGGAACAGUUAUCUUCAUGAAGGUCAGAGAUAAGUGGGUGCUGCCAUGGUGGACAACACAAUGUCAUCUAGGAUGGCUGAACCUCAACCCCCCAGUACAUCAGUGCCGCAGAUGCCUUUGCCAUCUCUUGGAUGCCCUGGUGAAGCCAACAACUGUGAGUACUAUUCAUUGCUCAGGAUAUCAGGAGGGAAGAGAUUCAGUGGCAUUGGGCAGUAACAAAGCAGAUAAAGUGGCUCGGGAAAUGGCUAUGCAGGAGCCUAUCCUGGUUGCAGGCCUGCAAGAGACAGCCACUGAGAACUAGGAUCGGACUAAGGGAUGGCCUCACUUAGAAAAGGCCCAAAUUGCUUAAAAGAUAAAGGACAAUGGCACACUUGUGGGGGAAGCUAUACUCCCCCAGAGAACAAAGAAAAGACUCACUUUGCCAAAUACAGAAAUGGACUCAUUUAGGAGAUAAAAAGUUUGUCCAAGUAGUUAAGUGUAUGUAAUAGACUUUAAGAUUUUAGCCAGAGAGGCAGUAGAAAGUAUAAGGUAUGUCAAUAAGUGAAUGCUUAGCAAGCAAACAGGGCAAAGAGACCUAGAGAGUUUGGUGAAAAGUCGAAGUGAACUUCACUGAGAUAAAACCAGAAAAAUAUAAUCACAAGUAUCUCCUAGUGCUUGUAGAUACUUUUUCAGGAAUAGAUAGAAGCUUUCCUCACCAAACAAGAGACGGCCUCUGCAAUCAUCAAGAAGAUACUGGAAGAAAUCUUCCUCUGAUUUGGAAUGCCCAAGGCUAAAAGACCUACAGGUGAUACAGAAAGAAAUCUGCUCACAGCUGACAGCAGCCUAUGCCCCGGAGACCCCUGAGACAUCUCAUCAGUUCCAGGUCGGAGACUCGGCUACAUACGAUGGCACCGAACCCAGAUACUCACUGGAAAGGACCGUACCUGGUGCUGCUGACCACCCUGACAGCCAUCAACUCUCAGCCCUCACCAGCCGUGUACUAGCUGUUGGGGCUGAGAGCUGGGACCUAGAGGGAAAAUCAGAUCUUCAAAAAGCUCCCUAGACUUAAUUUCAUGUUUGCCCCGGGUUUUAUCAAGAUAGGUGUGGGGAUAGGCUUGAUUUCUAUUACAAAUGAUGUAACAUUGCAUAUGUUAGUACUCCUAACACUUCUUGGGACUGUGCCUCAGGGAUCACAAUCUGUACAAGUUUAGAAGUUCUAAAAGCUAGUCAUGACCUUGGUGUGCAGGUUUAGAUAGUGUCCAGAUUGGAAUCCUGAUGCUAGAGACUUAGUAAAAAAAAAAAAAAAAAAAAAGAGUUGAGAAUUACUUAAGGCUAUCUAGGUGCUGCAAGGGCAGCACAAGGACAUCUGCCAUUGCCCUGCAAUGCAAGGUUUAUAGAGAAUUCAGAACUGCCAUUGACUCAGAUAUAAAAAGAGUGAAAAACUUUUUAGCUGACCUCCAAGAAUAACUAACCUCCCUCUCAGAGGUAGUCCUUCAGAAUAGGAGAAGAUUAGACCUGAUAUUCCUUAAAGAAGGAACCUGUGUGCUACACUGAAAGAAUGUUGUUUCUAUGCAGACCAUACAGGAUUAGUGAGAGAUAACAUGGCUAAGCUCCGAGAACGCUUGGCCCAGAGACAGAAGCUGUUUGAUUCCCAACAAGGCUGGUUCGAGGGGUGGUUUAACCGAUCCCCUUGGUUUGCUACCCUGGUGUCCACCUUGAUGGGACCCUUAAUCAUCCUCCUCCUAAUCUUCCUCUUUGGCCCCUGCAUUCUAAACAGAUUGAUGCAGUUCAUAAAGAACAGACUCUCAAGUCAUUCAGACGCUUGUUCUCACCCAACAAUACCAGAGGGUAAGACAACAGGAAGAGAUUCCUUAGAAUUCGAUUUGAGUAAAGGAUUUUACUCAAGUCUAAAAGAAAAUGGGGGAAAAUGAAAGACCCACCCCAUGAGUCUUAACUCAGAGUUGCAACAGGCUUGAAUGAGCCCAGGCACGCCCAGAUACCUAGGGCCGAGUCACCGUGAAGACUAACAGACCAUAAAAGGAAAGGAAUGCAGAACAGACCAGGAGUACCACUCACAGGCCACCUGGCAGGAAGAGAUAAGCCCCCAGCCCCCGACAUCCAGGACGCCCCAAACCUGCCAAUGUGUGUAGCUAUACCUUAUUACCUCAUCAUGUGAAAUAGCCAAUCAUAUGUGAACAUGUCUAUGUGCCUCGUUUGAAUCCACCAAUCCCUGUAACUAUGCAUCUGCUUCUGUACUCCCGCUUCUGCUUCCCCAAUCCCUAUAAAAGCCCCAUGCUGGAGCUGCUGGGCACGCAAGUCCUCCGAAGAGACUGUGUGCCCGCAGGUACCUGUGUUUUCCAAUAAACCCUCUUGCUGAUUGCA